GAUGAAGAACGCAGCGAAAUGCGAUAAGUAAUGCGAAUUGCAGAAUUCAGUGAGUCAUCGAAUCUUUGAACGCAUAUUGCGCCCUUUGGUAUUCCGAAGGGCAUGCCUGUUCGAGCGUCAUUUCAACCCUCAAGCACAGCUUGGUGUUGGGACUCGCGUUAAUUCGCGUUCCCCAAAUUGAUUGGCGGUCACGUCGAGCUUCCAUAGCGUAGUAGUAAAACCCUCGUUACUGGUAAUCGUCGCGGCCACGCCGUUAAACCCCAACUUCUGAAUGUUGACCUCGGAUCAGGUAGGAAUACCCGCUGAACUUAAGCAUAUCAAUAAGCGGAGGA
rnacentral:misc_RNA from 1 species